CCUACGGGGUGCUGCAGUGGGGAAUAUUGGACAAUGGGCGAAACCCUGAUCCAGCCAUGCCGCGUGUGUGAAGAAGGCCUUCGGGUUGUAAAGCACUUUCAGUGGGGAAGAAAGCCUUGGGGCUAAUACCCUCGAGGAAGGACAUCACCCACAGAAGAAGCACCGGCUAACUCCGUGCCAGCAGCCGCGGUAAUACGGAGGGUGCGAGCGUUAAUCGGAAUUACUGGGCGUAAAGCGCGCGUAGGCGGUCUGAUAAGCCGGUUGUGAAAGCCCCGGGCUCAACCUGGGAACGGCAUCCGGAACUGUCAGGCUAGAGUGCAGGAGAGGAAGGUAGAAUUCCCGGUGUAGCGGUGAAAUGCGUAGAGAUCGGGAGGAAUACCAGUGGCGAAGGCGGCCUUCUGGACUGACACUGACGCUGAGGUGCGAAAGCGUGGGUAGCAAACAGGAUUAGAUACCCGAGUAGUC
rnacentral:rRNA from 1 species